UAAAAUAAUGAACUUCCAUUGUUUUUAAAAUAACAGUUCAUAUAGUUUCUCAAAUUGAUGUUUAAAUAACCAAACGAAAUCAGUGUUGCGACUUGAAAGAUGUACAUGAAGUGCAAGACAAAUAUCAUUUGAAUUUAUUUUCUUUAGUAAUGUAAAUUGCAAUGAAUUUUAAAUUUAGUCGUUUAAAACUACAUGUCUAUUUAUUACCAUCUUAUUUCAAAAAAGAUGCACACUACUAUUUUUACGUUUACUUGUAGGAAAGUUUAUUUGCAGAAAUAUGUUGGGGUAAUACAAAUGUUUGUUUUGUAUUAAUGAAAUCUUUGUGAAAAUCCCCUGGAAAUAUAGUAGACUCAGUUUGAUUCAACCUGUUCUAGACAGGUUAUAAAUAUGCAAUAUCCUCCACGCCCUUAGCACCAGCUUAAGCGGAACUCAUAUUAAAUUGAAUUCAUGGUCAUUGUGGACCAGUGAAUUUAUCAACACAUAGUCAAACACAUUCGCAAUUUAUUAAAUAGAGGCUGAAUAAUAAUGCAUUUUGAGCUUGGACAGGCGGGAGUUGGGUAGAACCUUCGAAAUUACUCAAACCAGUUUGACAGCUUUACCACAGGGAGCUUUCUACGUGUCAGUCUUGGAGCAAGCAAUGUUGUUUAAAGUGACUCUUAGUUAGCGACCACAACUUGUCCAACACGAAAGAUAUAUACUUUUAUACAGGUUUUCAACAGUUUCUGACAAUAAGUGACCGCUACUUAGCAAACUAAAUAUAACACACAUUUAAGGAAAAACUACUAUUUUUUAUGACAUUGGAGAAAAACGUGUUUACGAAAUAUUUGUUUUAUUCAUUUAUAAUAACUGCAUUCCCGCGUAAUUUGAUACGAAAAAAUAAAUGUAUCCUCUAAAUUUUGAAAUAUUUGAUUUAAAUCUGUAGUUUUAAUGUUCUUAAACUAUUGCAAAUAACACUUUUGUACAUUUUUUAGAUAAAAUCUUUGAGUAAUGACAAAUAAUGGUGCAAUUACUUGCAUGUAAAUAGAUAUCUUCAUAAAUCUCUAGCAAUAAGACAUUCGGCGGCGUGCUUCUUUAAAGACACAUUAACCAUAAAGUAGUACCAUACACAUGUAGGUAGAAGCAGGAGGGAAAUAUUAGCGGAAGUAUAUUAAAUCGUUUUAUACAGACCUACAGGUCAUACAAUCUACAAUGGUAAAAUUGUUUCGAUUGCUUAGGCCUGAAGAAGACGUAAGUCAAGGUAUUAAAGCUAAAAAUCCAUAUGCACAAGCAUCACCUUGGCACCAUGUUUCUCCAAGUUACAAGUUCUGCGUCUCUCAGUAUAUUUCUACAUGUAAAACAGAGGAUGCCGUGUGGAAGCUUGCUGGCAAAGCAUAUAAUCCUACAGGAAAUAGAAAAAUAAUAUCAAUAGAUGUUGACCUAUUAAAACAGCUGGUUCCAGAUUUUGAAUACAUUGAUCUUACGGAUCCUGCCACUCGUGAAUCAUGUAUUUCGGAGGAAGAUGAUUUUGCCAGGAACUGUGCAAGGAAAUUUGAAGAAAUACUUAUACAAAUACCAGUGAUACCGGGACGAGAGCCCGUCAUUCCAGCGAAAUGCAUAUCUGUGAUAGGUUUUAUUUGAACGCUCAUUACCACAAAGUGCAAAGGUUUAAAACAAUUUAGAGAAAUUAAUUGCUAUAUGUUAUUCGGCAACAAAAGAAUAAUUUAUUUUGUUGUACAGCGGAGUUUAUUACCCAUUAAAACUAUCAGCAGAAUGUAUAAUUGGAAUAGGUGAAUUUGAGAUCUAGUCUUGACAUUAAAACUCGUUAUGUGUAAGAAUAAUUUACUAUAUUUUGGAAUGGUCGUACAUACUUUAUCAGAAAGACAUAAAUGUAAAAUUUAAUCAUCACUACUUUUUAUGUUAUUGUUUUAAUGAAUAACCACAGUUAUUAUCAUAUAGAGGAUAUUUAUUUGAUUCAGUGUAAGACGAUAUGCAGUUUUUUUUAAGAGUGACGUAGCCUCGUGUGAAACUUUAAGAAAAUGUGUACACGAGUGAACGAUAGUUUGAUCUUACAUGUAAACCAAUCAUAUGUACUUUUCAUUUAUCUGUGAUUAAUGAAUGGACAAGUUUGACUCGUCUUGAUUCUUUUAUAGGACCCCAUAGUAAAUAAAUUCCCUCAUGUACUAUUUGAAAUUGCUACUUUAGCUUAUUUUGGAAAAAAAUAAAUUAUUCUAGUUA